GACACAGCAUUUGAUGAAAAAAAUCACAGACAACAGACGUUGGAAAUUUUGAUUUUUUGAAAACACUUGCCACGGGCGCUACUGCGUCCACAAAUAAACUACACUCAAAUAAAACGAAUGAUAUAUUUUAAAUGUUUUCGCACUUAGAACAUUGACUGAAAGCAUAAUUUAAGAUUUAUGUGUGCCUAAUAAUAACUAUGCAUAAGGUUUUUGGAAUAUAAUUUUGAGUUAGAUGAAAUUGAAGUGCAUCUAAUGCAGCUCAUGUGCUGCACAUAAAACGCCAGUCAAGGAAAAAAAUGAAAACAUCAGGAGCGCAACUCUGCUUAAAAAGUUUUUCCCCGUCCAACAAGCUGUUUUUCGCAUUUUUCGAUUGAAAUGUACGGACGUUCCCUUCUCCUCAAAAGCACGGCGCGUGUUCUGUAGUUGUAUUCCUGGGUGUGCAUCAUGCAAUCGAACAGAAUACGAUUUUCCCACUGUCAGCCUAAGAAACCCGUAUCCCGAAGAAACCGACAGCAAAGUUUCCCCACCAUACGUAAAGGAAGAGAAAAAUGCAUCCACUCCCUCUUCAAAUUAGGACCUUCUUCGUAGCUUCACGCAAUAGCAACAGCUGUGUGCAGACGAACAACAUGUUCAUUGGAUCAAACGAUCUUUGAUGGAACUGCCGCAACAGCAGCGAAAAUAAAACUGUACGUCCUACUUUUUCUGAUGCGUUUCUUGCUGGGAGCAAUGCAGGAGGUGGAGCUAGUACUGGCCUUGGUCAAUUAGGCUAUGUAUCUAGUCCUGCCCGACAAACAGAUUUCCAGGAUGUUAACGAUCUGCAAUAGUAAGAUCUGCGAUCGGCAAUAGUAAGCACGACCAACUAUAGUUGUAUAUAGUAUACAUCCUGGUGAACUUGGUUUUGAUCACCAUGCAAUUUUCCUUCAAUGUAUAAGAAACCCGUUUUCCGGAAGUAAUCGACAUUUCAGUUUUCCCGCCGAACGGGAGGAAAUACAUACGAUGAUAAUUGAAAGGAAAAUAAAUUCAAUAGAAAUAAAAGGAA